GGGGGUUCCCAAAGGCAGCACCAAGAAGUCCAGGGGAACCUCUCUGGUGUCCACGGGGCCAAGGCCUUGGAAAGAGUCUGGCUGGGACCGCCGCCGCCAAUCAUACCAAAUGGCCACUGUGCCAUUAUUGACCACGGUCAGCUCCGAAGAUGUCUUCUCUCCUUCUAGAGUUUCGAAGGUCAAGCGGACGGCAAUUCCAACAUGCUUCUAGGGAAGGAGGAGGCCAGCCACAAGCUGCCGUCGCGUCUCCAGCCCGCUCCUCACCCAUCUCUGCCUGGAUGCAUUGGGG